rnacentral:rRNA from 1 species
GUAUCCUGACCGUGCUAAGGUAGCAUAAUCAUUUGCCUUUUAAUUGGAGGCUAGUAUGAAUGGGAAGACGUAGAUUCAGCUGUUUCUAUAUUAUAAAUAAAACUUAAACUUUAGGUGAAGAUGCCUAAAUUUUAUAGAAAGACAAGAAGACCCUAUAGAGUUUUAGUUAAACCUACUAAUCUAUUGUAAUAUAACUUUGGUUGGGGCGACCUAGGAUUUUCAUAAACAUCCUACUAACUUACGAUAUUUUAUUCUUAUAAAUUGACCCUAUAACGGAUUAUCAGAAAUAACUACCUUAGGGAUAACAGGCUUAUCUUCCUAGAGAGCUCUUAUUGAUAGGAUGGUUUGGCACCUCG